rnacentral:tRNA from 1 species
GCUCCUGUAGCUCAGUGGAUAGAGCGCAUCGGUUCUAACGAUAGGGUCGGGGGUUCGAAUCCCUCCAGGAGCG